rnacentral:rRNA from 1 species
CACGUAGGGGGCGAGCGUUGUCCGGAAUUACUGGGUGUAAAGGGUGCGUAGGCGGCCUUGCAAGUCAGAUGUGAAAGAUCACGGCUUAACUGUGGUAAGCAUUUGAAACUGUAAGGCUUGAGUGCAGGAGAGGAGAGUGGAAUUCCUAGUGUAGCGGUGAAAUGCGUAGAUAUUAGGAAGAAUAUCAGUGGCGAAGGCGGCUCUCUGGACUGCAACUGACGCUGAGGCACGAAAGCGUGGGGAGCAAACAGGAUUAGA